UAGGGAAUCUUCGGCAAUGGGGGCAACCCUGACCGAGCAACGCCGCGUGAGUGAAGAAGGUUUUCGGAUCGUAAAGCUCUGUUGUAAGAGAAGAACGUGUGUGGGAGUGGAAAGUUCACACAGUGACGGUAACUUACCAGAAAGGGACGGCUAACUACGUGCCAGCAGCCGCGGUAAUACGUAGGUCCCGAGCGUUGUCCGGAUUUAUUGGGCGUAAAGCGAGCGCAGGCGGUUUAAUAAGUCUGAAGUUAAAGGCAGUGGCUUAACCAUUGUUCGCUUUGGAAACUGUUAAACCUGAGUGCAGAAGGGGAGAGUGGAAUUCCAUGUGUAGCGGUGAAAUGCGUAGAUAUAUGGAGGAACACCGGUGGCGAAAGCGGCUCUCUGGUCUGUAACUGACGCUGAGGCUCGAAAGCGUGGGGAGCAAACAGG
rnacentral:rRNA from 1 species